UUCGGUCUGCGGACGCUGCAGAUAUACCUCAAGUCUCCGAAUUUAGCUCCUGGAUCAUUGAUAGUGCGCCUGACUGGAAGUACCUGGAUCUGCACAUGAAAAACAUGCGCAGAAGAGGCAUGAGUACACCACAACAGUACUCAGUAAGUGUCAAGCCUAAACCCGGUUGAGUGUGACGAAGAAGGUCAGGGCUCUACUGAGAUAAAAUAUAAUAAAGGCUGACAACAGUAUGAAAUAAGCAGAAAUAAUGAUAUACAACUAUGAAAUAAAUUGUAUUACACAACAGCAAUUAACCCGCAGAAAAUAAGAUAAUGCGGAGUAAACAGCUCAAUACAAGUACCAAUAAUGAGGAUCUCCCUGGAUACCGUCAUGUGGUCUAUUUUAUCAAUAUGUACGAGGAGCUCCCGGGAUACCAUCCCGUAGUCCACCGUAUGAAUAUCGCUGAAGGAUCUCCCAGCAUACCGUCCCGUAGUCCACUAUCAAUGUACAUAGGAGCUCCCGUGAUACCGUCCCAUAGUCCCAAAUAUAAAUACCCAGUACUGCGGGGAUCUACCGGCUGCAUUGCCGUAGUUCCAUAUAUCAUGCAGGGGGGUCUCCCAGGAAUCGAACCCAUAGUCCCAAAUAUAAAUGUGCAGGGGGAGCUCCCGGAAUCCCACAUUCGUAGUCCCAAAUAAACAAACAAGGGGGAACUCCCGGAAUCCCACAUCCGUAGUCUCAAUUUAAAUGCGCAACCACAACCAAGAUUAUUUAGGAAAAAUCAAAUAUGGAACACCAACAAUUAGGUUUAGUUAACCUAGCAUGCCUCACGUAGUACAACUUAGGCAAAAUAAGCAAUUAAGCAAUUAAUUCUAUCUAAUCAUGCUUUUCUAACUAACACGGAUUAAUCUUGCAUUGAAAUCAGUCAAAUAAACAGAGAAACACAGUUCAAAUAAUUCAAGUAAAUUGAACUUUCAACAAUUAGCACAAGUACACGCUCAUCACCUCGCGCACAAGGCCUCUAAAUCAACAAAUAAGAAGUCCUAAGGGGAUAGGUCCCCCACACAAGGUUAGACCAGUGUUUUAAAAGGCGUGGGCAUAAGGUGAGGCCUUUUGCAUAUGCCUCAGCGAGGCGUAAGCCCCAUGGGUAUUUAAUUUUUAAUAUAUUAUAAAAUAAUAUAAUUAUAAAAAAAAUUAUUAUUAUAUAUCCCAUAUUAUCUAAUGAAAUUAUAUAGAAGUUCCAAAUAAAGUAAAAUUAUAUAAGUGAAAUUACGUAUAAAUGCCAUAUAAUUAUAUAUAUAAGUGAAAUCUCAUAUUAUCUAAUGAAAUUAUAAAUUCCAAAUAAAUAAGUGAAAUUACAUAUUGUCGACGCCCCAUUUUUCAAAAGCGAAAUCGACUUUUACGACAUUAUGGGCAAAACAACUCUCAUUCCCAUUUGGGAAUUGGGUUAUGGGAUUCGAAGAGUCGCCACCUAAUGAUUAUAGUACAUUAGGGCACUUUUAAAGAUGAGAUUGGUGUUUUGAAAGAAAACCAAAGUUCAGGUAAGGGCUUGAGAUUAUCUCGAGGGGAAGGUGUUAGGCACCCCUCAAGAUCCACUAGUGUGGUUCCUAGCCGUGCGAAUGUGACUUUAUGAAGAGAUAAAGCAAGUAAACAGAUAAGAUUCACAUAUAAAUAUUUGAACAACUUAGGAUUUUUGAAAAGGGAAAGGAAUAAGUUAAACAAAAUAGAAGGGAGAAUAGAUUUGAAAAGAGAGCAUUACUUUGGAAAAAUCUUUAAUAAAUAAACCAAGCAAAAAAAGGGGGGUCCUAGGUUUGAUUAUAAUAUGGAUCAUUCGAUACAAUAUCCAGUACAUAUUCCCAAAGCGGGGUCGCUUUAUGAUAUUAUCGCAUCGUCAUCAUCUCCAUAUUCUACCCUUCCCACCCGGUAAGGUUAUUUAAGCGUGUGGAUUAGUCAUGAAUACUUAUUGCGUGCUAUUACCCGUCCCAUCCUAUAGAUCCUAGAGGGCAUUUAGGAUCACUAUUCCUAUAAGGUAGGAACUAGGCUAAACCGCUAGGUUCAAAGGUUAAAAUUCUAAAUGUCAUUCAAGAACAAGUAGUAUUUGAACAUAAAGGUAAUCAUAUAAGCAUGUAAAUGGCUCAAAUAUCCCUCUAAAGACGAACAUAUAAUUAGUACGACUCGAACACAUUUAAGGUCUAUGGAAGGAAGAUUCUUUCGAAAAACUGGUACAUAAAUUAAACAGAAGUUUGGAGGUUUUGCAGAAAAGUAACACAAGGGAAAACGUUUAGAACUUUCAAAGAGGUAGUAGCAGUAUAGAAAAUCUACAGAUGUAUUCAAAAUGUUUGUGGAACACAGUUUUCGGACAAGCAGAAUAGAAGAACAGAUAUGGAAAUAUCUUGAGAUUGCAGAAUUAUAAAGGAAAACAUGUCAGGUUAUGAACCCUUGAAAAUUACAAGAUAGCUUGAAAAAUAGUAGCCCAGUGUUGGACGAGAAAAUACAGUAGAAAACCUUUGCAUAUAUGGUUUGAAAAAUAGUAGGCCAGUUCUGGGUAAAGCAGUGCUGGACGAGAAAACACAGUAGAAAACUUUUGCAUAUAUGGUUUGAGAAUAGUAGGCCAGUUCUGGGUAAAGUAGAAAUCACUUGCAUAAGUAUUAGAAUAGGGUAGAAGUUAAUAAAAAAAUUAGACAGCUCAGAAACAGACGAGUUCAGGCGGAGGCAGAUUUAGCUCGAACAUGACUUAGAGGUGAUUAGCCUAUUUUAUCCGGCCUAAGCUUGCCUAGACAUUAUUAAAGGAUGAUGAGCAUGCACAUUUGCUUCCAGUUUUAAUGAGGGAGCUGUUAACCAAUUUUUAAACCAGAUCAACGAAGUAAACAACUGCAAAUAAAAUCCUUAAAGGCAUGGUAUCUAAUGCACAAAAGUCCUAUGAUCAUGAUAUCUAAAUUUUUAAACCAGAUCAACGAAGUAAACAACUGCAAAUAAAAUCCUUAAAGGCAUGGUAUCUAAUGCACAAAAGUCAUAUGAUCAUGAUAUCUAAAUGUGAGGUUGAUGACUUGAUGAUUAUUAAUUAGUCAUAAUUAUAAGAAUAUUGAGAAUAACUGAAAGUGAAGAGCAAAAGAACAUGAUUUCUAUAUGUGAGGAUGCAUGUCCUAAAACAUGGUAUCUAUUGAAAAAAUAGGUAAAUAAAGGUCCAUAGACAUAUUUUCUACCCAUUCCCUUAAUUAAACAUGAAUAGCGCCCCCCCCCCCCAAUUCACNNNNNNNNNNNNNNNNNNNNNNNNNNNNNNNNNNNNNNNNNNNNNNNNNNNNNNNNNNNNNNNNNNNNNNNNNNNNNNNNNNNNNNNNNNNNNNNNNNNCCCCAAUUCACUAUAAUCCCCAUUGUUCUUUAUAAAUUAUUACAGCCCAAAUAAUUAAAUUACAACAGUGAUAAAAGAAAAUAAGAAGUUACUAUAUAGAGAGCCUUAAGCCAGGCCAAACAUCUCCAACCUCACUUCUUACGAGUUUCACAGCCAUUACCAAGGUUUGGGUGCGGCAAAGUUCCCUAAGGGUUCGUUUGAACCCCUGGCCAAUACCAAGCACCCAAAAUAUUAUUAUUAGACAAGUGCAAUGUGGAAGUGUCAGCCUUGUGCAUCAAAGUUCAAUGGGUGCUCAAGGGUUCCCAAGGCAAUGCUUACACUAAGGGGGCAGAACCUAAUGUUCUAAGAGUAGUGAGAUUGUGAUAGAAUUGACAGAGUUAAAAAAACAAUUGAGAGACAGCUUGAGAAAACAGUUAAAAAAGUUGAGACAGUUUGAGAAAAUAGUUGAAAGAGUUAAAAAAGUUCUUCUGAAAUCAUUUGGACCUUUUCAGAGCAUCACACAAACAGGGGCAAAGGGCAAGGGAACAAAUAAGUAAAGUGAAUUAUUCACACAGACAACAUAUAAGAGAAAAGUAAUCAGACAUAGUUGCAGAAUCAGGGGUUCAGUUCUUACUGCACCAAACCCAAUAAACUUAGCCUAAAGCAAAGGUUUUAGGCUAAUCAAGUAGCCAAGUAUCCCUGGACACGUAGUAGUAAUGCACAAGGGAAAGGAAAACAUUCAUUGAGACAGGAAAGGGGUAAGGGGAGCAUGUUAAGCUAAGCUAAGUAGACUAGUAAGUGCAUGCUAGUGACAAAAAUAGCAACAAAACCAUAAGUAAAAGCACACAAGAAACAAUAUGAAAUGCAAAAUUAAUAGAAACAUGUUGUUUUGGAAACUAUAUCUUAAAGGGGUGACGUACCAGUUGCAAGUAAUAGAACACAACAGCAAUGAGUAAUAGUGCCCAUGAUCAGAGUGUCUGAGGGGGUGACACCAGUUGCAAAUAAUAGAACACAAUAGCAGUGGUAAUAGUGCCCAGAGGAACAAGGUGAUCAGAGUGUGUGAGUAGCGAAGAGAAUAACAGUGUGCAGCAGUAGUAUGAGAAUAGCAGCAGCAGCAAACCCAAGUAAACAAACAAUAGAACCCAGUAGUAUAGAAGUAAUCAACCCAAGCUACUCAAUCUUGGCUUUCAGCCGAUUGAGUGUUCAAAUAAAAGAAUGAGAGAGUAUAGUAAUAACAGAGAACAAGAGAAUUCAGAGAGUCUGAAGUUGUGAGAAAUAUGCAGUGUGUUGGUAUCUUUCAAAGAGAAGGGGGGAGUAUUUAUUGUUUUGGAAAAUGAGUACAUAAACAAGCAGUAUCCUCUAAUUAAGGGAAUAGUAUCAAUUACAAUCAAAUUAGUAUAAGGACUCCCUUUUAAUUAAGGAAUCAAAGUCAAGCGGUAACAAGUAAAGGGUUUUAGAAGGAAAGGAAUCAAUUAAACUAUUACAUUUACCUUAAUAAAAGUAGUAUAGCAUAUAAUAUGCAAUAAGGGUUAGAUACAUAGUAAUUUAAGUAAGGAAAAUAUAUACUGAAGAUUUUGAUACCCUGCUCAUGCACAAAUAUGGUAAGGGAUUACAAAUUAGCCGUACAAUUAGUCAAAGAAUCAAGAUUUUGAAAGCCUGUUCAUGCAUAAAUAUGGUAAGGGAAUACAAAUUAGUCUGACAGUAAGUCAAAGAAUCACGGGCAAAACCCAAAAUCAGAGAGAAUUGUCCCUAAAUAAGGAGAGCAUGCCCAAAUAAGGAAGUAAUUUCAAAAGAAAUCAGUAAAACGUCUAAGGAAAAUGACAUACAAAUCAGAGAUUAACAAAUAUGUUCAAAAUCAGUAGAAUAUUCCGAACGAUGAACAAUUUAGGCCUAUAAAGCCUAAUAGACAAGAAAUUCAGAGAACCCUAAACAAGUAAAGGCAUGGAAGCAACAAAGGGUCGAAAACCUAGCAAGAAAAUUAAGACAUGGAACCCAUGUUAACAAGGAAAUCAAAAAAACUCGUAAUACAAACAAGCACGAACAAACACAUAACGCUCAAGAAAAGCAAAAGAAGCAAUUUUGAAAAAGGGGUCAUAAACCCUAAUUUUGAGAAAGAAAAAAUCAUCGGAAAACAUGAGACAACCAGAAAGAUUGAGUGAGAAAUAGAGUAGGAAACACAACUUAAACUAAAAAUCAUUUAAAAAGAACAAAUAUUAAAGAGAUUUGAGUAGAAAAAAUUAGGGUUUGCAGACGAGUUAGAGAAAGGAGGAACCUGGGCAUGAAACUCAUCAUCAAGGCCAUAUAGAGAAUUAUCGUGUAAAAACCACCAGAGAAAGACCGGUACAGACCCAGGCAAGCUUCAAUCAGCUGUCUUCCAUGGCGGAAGUUUCUGGACUUCGAGUCUGAGAGAGAAAUAAGGAGAUGAGGUACCAUGGUGAGUGGUGGUCGAGAGGAAUGAGGGUGGAGGUGGCCGGAACGGCGAUGAAGGCCAUCAAAGAUUAGAGCGAGGACCACAAGGUUCUAGAGAGAACUCAGAGACGAAGGGCUAGAGAG
rnacentral:lncRNA from 1 species